UGAAUUGACGGGGCCCGCACAAGCGGUGGAGCAUGUGGUUUAAUUCGACGCAACGCGAAAAACCUUACCUGGGCUUGACAUGGAGAGAAUCUCCUGGAAACAGGAGAGUGCCUCGCAAGAGGAGCUCUCACACAGGUGCUGCAUGGCUGUCGUCAGCUCGUGCCGUGAGGUGUUGGGUUAAGUCCCGCAACGAGCGCAACCCCCAUCCCCAGUUGCCAUCAUUAAGUUGGGCACUCUGAGGAAACUGCCCGGGUUAACCGGGAGGAAGGCGGGGAUGACGUCAAGUCCUCAUGGCCCUUAUGUCCAGGGCUACACACGUGCUACAAUGGGCGGUACAAAGGGUCGCAAACCCGUAAGGGGGAGCUAAUCCACCAAAAGCCGUCCUCAGUUCGGAUUGAGGUCUGCAACUCGACCUCACGAAGCUGGAAUCGCUAGUAAUCGCGGAUCAGCACGCCCGCGGUCGAAUACGUUCCGGCCUU
rnacentral:rRNA from 1 species